rnacentral:rRNA from 1 species
GACGAACGCUGGCGGCGUGCUUAACACAUGCAAGUCGAACGGACAGGCCCUGCUUUUGUGGGGUGCUCGAGUGGCGAACGGGUGAGUAACACGUGAGUAACCUGCCCUUGACUUUGGGAUAACUUCAGGAAAAUGGGGCUAAUACCGGAUAGGAGCUCCUGCUGCAUGGUGGGGGUUGGAAAGUUUCGGCGGUUGGGGAUGGACUCGCGGCUUAUCAGCUUGUUGGUGGGGUAGUGGCUUACCAAGGCUUUGACGGGUAGCCGGCCUGAGAGGGUGACCGGCCACAUUGGGACUGAGAUACGGCCCAGACUCCUACGGGACGCAGCAGUGGGGAAUAUUGCACAAUGGGCGGAAGCCUGAUGCAGCAACGCCGCGUGCGGGAUGACGGCCUUCGGGUUGUAAACCGCUUUCGCCUGUGACGAAGCGUGAGUGACGGUAAUGGGUAAAGAAGCACCGGCUAACUACGUG